rnacentral:rRNA from 1 species
GACGAACGCUGGCGGCGUGCCUAAUACAUGCAAGUCGAACAGUGGCGGACGGGUGAGUAACACGUGGGUAACCUGCCCUUCACUUUGGGAUAACUCCGAGAAAUCGGGGCUAAUACUGGAUAGUGGGGGAUGGGUUCGCGGCCUCUCCGUUUGUUGGUGUGGUUGUGGUCACCAAGGCGUGACGGGUAGCCGGCCUGGGAGGGCGGCCGGCCACACUGGGACUGAGGCACGGACCAGACUCGUACGGGAGGCAGCAGUGGGGAGUAUUGCACAAUGAGCGAGCGCCUGAUGCAGCGACGCCGGGUGGGGGAUGACGGCCUUCGGGUUGUAAACCUCUUUCAGCGAGGAAGCGGUACUUGCAGAAGAAGCGCCGGCUAACUACGUGCCAGCAGCCGCGGUAAUUC